AGAGCGAACGCUGGCGGCAGGCUUAACACAUGCAAGUCGAGCGGGCGUAGCAAUACGUCAGCGGCAGACGGGUGAGUAACGCGUGGGAACGUACCUUUUGGCUCGGAACAACACAGGGAAACUUGUGCUAAUACCGGAUAAGCCCUUACGGGGAAAGAUUUAUCGCCAAAAGAUCGGCCCGCGUCUGAUUAGCUAGUUGGUGAGGUAACGGCUCACCAAGGCGACGAUCAGUAGCUGGUCUGAGAGGAUGAUCAGCCACAUUGGGACUGAGACACGGCCCAAACUCCUACGGGAGGCAGCAGUGGGAAUAUUGGACAAUGGGCGCAAGCCUGAUCCAGCCAUGCCGCGUGAGUGAUGAAGGCCCUAGGGUUGUAAAGCUCUUUUGUGCGGGAAGAUAAUGACGGUACCGCAAGAAUAACGCCCCGGCUAACUUCGUGCCAGCAGCCGC
rnacentral:rRNA from 1 species